GAUGAACGCUGGCGGCGUGCCUAACACAUGCAAGUCGAGCGUGAACCCUGCGAAUGAAACUUCGGUCGAUUUUGCAGGGGGAAAGCGGCGGACGGGUGAGUAACGCGUAGGUAACCUGCCCCAUACUGAGGGAUAGCCUCGGGAAACCGGGAUUAAUACCUCAUAACACCGUAUAUUCGCAUGGAUGUGCGGUCAAAGAUUUAUCGGUAUGGGAUGGGCCUGCGUCUGAUUAGCUGGUUGGUGGGGUAACGGCCUACCAAGGCGACGAUCAGUAGCCGACCUGAGAGGGUGAUCGGCCACAUUGGAACUGAGACACGGUCCAAACUCCUACGGGAGGCAGCAGUGGGGAAUACUGCACAAUGGGCGAAAGCCUGAUGCAGCAACGCCGCCGUGAGCGAAGAAGGCCUUUGGGUCGUAAAGCUCUGUCGGGUAGGAAGAUAAAUGACGGUACUACCCGAGGAAGCCCCGGCUAACUACGUG
rnacentral:rRNA from 1 species